rnacentral:tRNA from 1 species
CGGGCCGGUAGCUCAGCCUGGUAGAGCAGCUGACUCUUAAUCAGUCGGUCGUGGGUUCGAAUCCCUCGCAGCCCAA